rnacentral:rRNA from 1 species
UACGUAUGGUGCAAGCGUUAUCCGGAUUUACUGGGUGUAAAGGGAGCGUAGGCGGCAGGGCAAGCCUGAUGUGAAAGCCCGGGGCUCAACCCCGGGACUGCAUUGGGAACUGCCCUGCUGGAGUGCCGGAGGGGCAGGCGGAAUUCCUAGUGUAGCGGUGAAAUGCGUAGAUAUUAGGAGGAACACCAGUGGCGAAGGCGGCCUGCUGGACGGUGACUGACGCUGAGGCUCGAAAGCGUGGGGAGCAAACAGG